CGCGGCUUACAUCCACUUGCGCAGAUGUAUGUGACUCAGCAAAGCCAUGGACACACUUGGAAAGAUGAAUUCUCCCCUUUCCUUGGGAAAAUAGAGAGCAGCAAAUGGUAUUUAGGGAUCCUGUCUACUGCCUUGAUACAGAGGAGAAAAAAACAUGCAAAGAAAGAAAGAAAAGAAAAAUGAAAACCCAAAGCUAUAGCUGGCAUUUUUGGUAUCAGAGGAACAGAAAAUUCUUACCAUGGGAUACUAAGAAAAUCAGCUAUCUCCAAUCAACACCUCUGGAGAUCACUGUGAAGCAAGAAAGUGAAUUCCCCUUGAAGCAGCAGCACCGCAGCAGCAGUCAGCUGCUUUUUGGGGCAGAGAGAGGAACAGACAGGUAUUCAUCACCCCAUUUCUAGAGACAGUGGGCUGGGGGAGUCAGGAAUGUCAUCCUGCCUGGAAAAUUUCCUGAUCCAGAUCCUUCAGUUGUUUAUAGAAAAAGUAUCCACAGGAUGACACCGAUCCACAUCAUUUCUGCAAGCUCCAGGGUUUCAGUUUGGAUCUGUGAUUUAAAUAACAGAUGGGUAAAAUCACAUGUAACCAGGCAGCUCCCUAGUGGCUGUAUAGAUGUGGAUGUUGGAGAGCAUAUGAUUUUCCAAGCUAAGGUCAGCACUAACCUGAGCUCAAUUUUUCCUCCAGAUCUGCUUUUUCUAGUGCUAUCAUGCAGCUUAAUUUUUUUGGCUUGUUCCACCCCCUUCUGCUCAAAUCACACCCCUGCGGAGGAUCCUUCCAAUGCAAACAGGGGAGUCACACUGCUCCAGAGCUCCACCAUUUCUGGAAGAUGAGAACAUACCUCUGUGAGGUGUGGAAACUGCUGUCUGCCACAUUAAUGAAGCCAAAUUGCAGAAAUGUGCAGUGUAAAUCUGAUGGUACCAUCUGGCCCUCAGCAUACAGGAGAUAAACACUCUGGUUUAUAAAGGGUUUA